rnacentral:ncRNA from 1 species
UGAAAACUAAGGGGGUGCCCACCUUGUUGGGUGUGGCUGAGAAUAUACCCAUGAACCUGAUACAGAUAAUGCUGUCGUAGGAAAAAUCCCCUUACGUUAU